rnacentral:tRNA from 1 species
GGCCCCAUCGUCUAUCGGUUAGGACAGCGGCCUCUCACGCCGUAAAGAGGGGUUCGAUUCCCCUUGGGGUCACCA